GACGAACGCUGGCGGCGUGCUUAACACAUGCAAGUCGAACGUGAUUUUUGUGGAAAUUCUUUCGGGAAUGGAAAUGAAAUGAAAGUGGCGAACGGGUGAGUAACACGUGAGCAACCUACCUUACACAGGGGGAUAGCCGUUGGAAACGACGAUUAAUACCGCAUGAGACCACAGAAUCGCAUGAUAUAGGGGUCAAAGAUUUAUCGGUGUAAGAAGGGCUCGCGUCUGAUUAGCUAGUUGGAAGGGUAAAGGCCUACCAAGGCGACGAUCAGUAGCCGGUCUGAGAGGAUGAACGGCCACAUUGGAACUGAGACACGGUCCAAACUCCCACGGGAGGCAGCAGUGGGGAAUAUUGCACAAUGGGGGGAACCCUGAUGCAGCGACGCCGCGUGAGCGAAGAAGGUUUUCGAAUCGUAAAGCUCUGUCCUAUGAGAAGAUAAUGACGGUAUCAUAGGAGGAAGCCCCGGCUAAAUACGUGCCAGCAGCCGCGGUAAUACGUAUGGGGCGAGCGUUGUCCGGAAUUAUUGGGCGUAAAGGGUACGUAGGCGGUUUUUUAAGUCAGGUGUGAAAGCGUGAGGCUUAACCUCAUUAAGCACUUGAAACUGGAAGACUUGAGUGAAGGAGAGGAAAGUGGAAUUCCUAGUGUAGCGGUGAAAUGCGUAGAUAUUAGGAGGAAUACCGGUGGCGAAGGCGACUUUCUGGACUUUUACUGACGCUCAGGUACGAAAGCGUGGGGAGCAAACAGG
rnacentral:rRNA from 1 species